UGACCCCUCAAAGUUCUAAAAA
rnacentral:tRNA from 1 species